GCCCAGGUUAGCCUAGUGGACAUGGCACCUGCCCGGUAAGCAGAAGGUUGUGGGUUCGAUUCCCGCCCCUGGACA